UCGGAUUGUAGUCUGCAACUCGACUACAUGAAGCUGGAAUCGCUAGUAAUCGCGAAUCAGAAUGUCGCGGUGAAUACGUUCCCGGGUCUUGUACACACCGCCCGUCACACCAUGGGAGUCGGAAAUGCCCGAAGCCGGUGACCUAACCUUUCAGGAAGGAGCCGUCGAAGGCAGGUCUGAUAACUGGGGUGAAGUCGUAACAAGGUAGC
rnacentral:rRNA from 1 species